AUUGAACGCUGGCGGCAUGCCUUACACAUGCAAGUCGAACGGCAGCACGGGGCAACCUGGUGGCGAGUGGCGAACGGGUGAGUCAUGCAUCGGAACGUACCUUUCGGUGGGGGAUAACGUAGCGAAAGUUACGCUAAUACCGCAUAUUCUGUGAGCAGGAAAGCAGGGGAUCGCAAGACCUUGCGCUGAUUGAGCGGCCGAUGUCAGAUUAGCUAGUUGGUGAGGUAAAGGCUCACCAAGGCGACGACCUGAAGCGGGUCUGAGAGGAUGAUCCGCCAGACUGGAACUGAGACACGGUCCAGACUCCUACGGGAGGCAGCAGUGGGGAAUUUUGGACAAUGGGGGCAACCCGGAUCCAGCCAUGCUGCGGGAGUGAAGAAGGCCUUCGGGUUGUAAAGCUCUUUCGGCCGGGAAGAAAUCGCACGGGCUAAUACCCUGUGUGGAUGACGGUACCGGAAUAAGAAGCACCGGCUAACUACGUGCCAGCCGCCGCAGUAAGAC
rnacentral:rRNA from 1 species